AUCGUCUGCCACCGUCCUGGCGCACCGCGUCCCGCAGAUCCGUGUCCCGCAGUUCCGCGUCCAUGAUUUACGGAACGAUUCCAUCCUAAGCGUUGCCUCGCAGUCCCCUCUGCCGAGCCCUAUCGCCUCCACGCAAGCCCAGCGCCCGUCGCACUCUCGGUCCCUCUCUCCGCUGCCCUUGACGUGCGCCUUUCUCCGCCGCCCUCGACAAAUCGAUCAUCUGCAUAUUUUUUUACAGCAGAGGAAGAAGAGAAAUUCCACACAAGGCCUCGGUGGUGGCUGUCGCUGCAACCGCCCCCAAUGAUGCCCGCGACUCUCGCCUUGGGAGUUCGGUCUACUGGGUCUGGAUCCGGGCGGGGGCAGAGGCGGCUCCGGGCCCCGCGGCUCGACAGGAGGAAGAAGGCUUAGUGCGCUACAUCCCCGUCAAGGCCUACUUCCUCUCCAUCAGGUGAGUUAGAACGCAUAGGUGGUUGUAUGCUGGGUGUUUGAGGAUAGUUCUGCAAGAAAGACCUUGUGGGCUACUGUGUUUUUUCAAUCUCUCAUCUAACAUUGUCGUGGGAGGCCAUGGUGAUUUGGUGAUGAGGAAUGAAAAACGACCCUUGUUUGAUUUUCUUUAUCCAGUCUUUUACAGCAUAGGAGCGACUUGGUAAAUCCAUCCACCUGGUCGCUAAACUACAUUGCGCUUUGCUAUUCUGAAUUCCCAUCCACCUGGUCGCUAAACUACAUUGCGAUUUGCUACUCUGAAUUCCCUCCAGAGAUCAUGGGCGUUGGAGGGAAGAACGACAUAUUUUGCUGUCACUAUGUGGUUCUCUUCCAAUAUAGUUCUGCUGUGCUCUUCAAUGUAUAUAAUUACGACUGUCCGAUCAAAUCAAUUUAAACAGAUCCGACUAUUUAUAUUAUGUCAAUGGUUUAUUAUCCAGAUCAACGAUUCAGAUCUAAUGUUCUGCCAGGCAGACGCCAUCGUCUGCCACCGUUCUGGCGCACCGCGUCCCGCAGAUCCGUGUCCCGCAGUUCCGCGUCCAUGAUUUACGGAACGAUUCCAUCCUAAGUGUUGCCUCGCAGUCCCCUCCGCCGAGCCCUAUCGCCUCCACGCAAGCCCAGCGCCCAUCGCACUCUCGGUCCCUCUCUCCGCUGCCCUUGACGUGCGCCUCUCUCCGCCGCCCUCGACAGAUCGAUCAUCUGCAUAUUUUUUUACAGCAGAGGAAGAAGAGAAAUUCCACACAAGGCCUCGGUGGUGGCGGUCGCUGCAACCGCCCCCAAUGAUGCCCGCGACUCUCACCUUGGGAGUUCGGUCUACUGGGUCUGGAUCCGGGAGGGGGCAGAGGCGGCUCCGGGCCCCGCGGCUCGACAGGAGGAAGAGGAGGAAGAAGGCUUAGUGCGCUACAUCCCCGUCAAGGCCUACUUCCUCUCCAUCAGCAUGGGAGCGACUUGGUAAAUCCAUCCACCUGAUCGCUAAACUACAUUGCGCUCUGCUACUCUGAAUUCCCUCCAGAGAUCAUGGGCGUUGGAGGGAAGAACGACAUAUUUUGCUGUCACUAUGUGGUUCUCUUCCAAUAUGGUUCUGCUGUGCUCUUCAAUGUAUAUAAUCAGGAACCAUGCUUUUGGGAUGGCUUCUGGAGAUGAGGAAAGACGGAUUAUGCAGUAGUUGAGAAGCCAUCCCAGACAACUUGGAUGAAAGGAUGUCUUGAUUAUAUAGUUCUUAAAAGUUUAGAUACGGAUGGAAUUCGGAUCAUUUCAAGUGUUCCUGGUCAAAGCAUCGCUCUUGAUUAUUGCAUACGGCAGGUCGAUGAUAUGGUUGAGGAGUUUACUGAAAUCAAUCGUAUCAUGGAGAAGACUGGGGACUUCACAAUGAAAAGUAAGAAGCUCUUUCAACUUAUGGGCUAGGCUAAUUCUAAUCUUGCAGAUGUUAUCAUUAGACAUGGCCUUUUUCACUGGUAUGUAAGUGUUACACUCUCUCCUGCAUAUUAUAUAUCAUAUACCAUAUAUUUUAGCAGUGUAUGUGUUUUCAUUUUCUGGAAAGAAGGAAUUUCAAUACGCAUCAUCCCCAUGUAAUGUGGAGUGUUAUGGAAAAGAAGUCAUGUAACUGUCAAAAAAAUAAGAAGAUAUAACUUGACAUCGUAGCCAGGUAGGACAAUAUGAUAUCUAUAGACCAGUUCGAGACUCACAUGGUACUUCUCUCGGGAAAAAUUGAACAGUACUAUUUAUGUUGUUCAAUGAAAAAAUUUCCUCGUGCUUUCAAGGAAGUUUGAUGUUUUGAUCUCCAGAUAUACAAAAUAUACAAUGCCAUAGCUCUUUAUGUUUUUAGUGUUUUUAUUUACUAGCAUUGUGUCCUGCUUUGAGAAUCAAAGAACAACAGAUGCACACUGAGACUAUUACCCCCUGUCGCAGAUGUUCCUCCACCCACAACAGCAAAGGCUGCUGCCGUCGCAAGCAAGUGCUGCCCCGCUGUCUCCUCACGUCAAAGACUGAAGCAUUGCCGCCGCUGUUUCUUUGCGCACGGCAGACAUGCAUCGACCCACAAUUUUUUUUCACGCGCCGGAGACCCAGAAUGUGGAGCUCGACAAAUACUUGAAAUCCUGGUUUUGGCCAUCUACGUGCAGUUCCACCGUUUGUUAUGAACAGAAAACUGAGGUGACUUGUGAUUUCUGAAUCUGCGGAGGGAAUUAGAAAAACUUAAGAGGAAGUUGGAGACAGUGUUUAAGUAUACUGCCAUCAACCUGAUCAAUAUGUUCCUCCUUGCAUUUGCUCCAUUACAUUAACUGUAUAUCCAGCAAUGAUGAUAGAAGAGAUAAAUAGUAAACGUACUUGAUUUUCAUUUGUAGAUGCUUUUGACUUUUAUAAGUUUCAUAAAAUAUUUUGUCCAUCAAACUCUAUGUUUCUUAUAGACAUGAAAAAGGAUAUGCAACUGUCGAGAGAAGAGAGUGCAGUAACCACUGGAGAGUGGAGACAGUGGAAGAAGGUGGGAACUACAUGUUCAUUGCAACGCUUUGCUACUUACCAUUUGCAUGUGGAGGAUGCUCCCGGGUGAUUGCCAAAGCAUGCCAAUUACCAUUUGCAGCUACUAUGUGAAGUGGCAGCUAGUGAACCAGAUCGACAAUGGAUCAAUUAGUAGUGUCGCCAUCCUUGGUUCUGAAGCAAUUCGUGAGGCGUCUCCUGCCAUAACAAUCUGGUUCUUACCUGAGUAUUGUCUACUAAGACGCCAUGUUGCUAGGUAAGUAUAAACAGUGGAUUAUCUCCAUUCAUGUGUUGCAGCUUCUACCAUCCUCCUUUUUUAGCAUGUCAGACACUCAGUAUACUUAUUCAUAUAGAUAGAUUUUUUAAGUAUAAGAAGCUCAUGUUUAGAUACUUAAUGCUGACAUGUGAACCAACAAUGCAACAUGAACACAAUUAUUAGUGCAUGAUACUUUGAUCAAUAAUUUCUCUGUCAUCGGUCGUGCACUAAUUUAGACAUAUUCUGUUUUUCUGAAAGCAAUUCAUCCCAAAUUUUCGUCUGAGCCGCAUUGCAUUUUUAUCCUGAAUCUCCAUCAUCAUUCAUUUUUGCAAAGAUUUAUUGCAUUUAUGAGACACAUUUACUCCAUUUUAAUUCAAUUUACCAUAUAUUAAUCCACUUCAAUUAGCAACAAGAUCCCAAGCUGAAACUAUUGCGGUCUGGGCUGGUAUGCGACUCCCAUUUUCCCAUUAUUGAUUUUUUUCACAAUGGAUACAUUCGAGCAUUGCAUUUUAAAGUCAAGUUUUAGCAAUUAUUUUUUAGCAGAAAUGCAGUGAUCUAUAUGCAAACAAUCUCUUUGUUUUAGUAAUGUUAUGGGACAUCAGAGAGCAGAUGGCAUGUCACAUCCCCAAUAAAUGUGUCAAUCAUACUAAAUCAUGGAUGAUUUCUAAUUUUGGAUAUUGAAAGAAUGCUAUUUUCUCGAGUAUAAUAUGACAAUACUCCCUCUGUAAAGAAAUAUAAGAGCGUUUUGAUCAUUAGUAGUGAUCUAAACACUCUUAUAUUUCCUUACAGAGGGAGUACUAAUUAACUCUUUCUGUUUGUAAGCUAUCUUGAUAUUUCUUAGCUGUUUUGAUGUUUCGCUUGGCAGAAAGUAUCACUGUAGUACUGCUUGAAAAGACAUAAGUGUGGGUGAUUGUGGUUUUAAAUCAGAGAAUUAUGGUUUCAAAGUUAUUCUUUAAAGGUACUCCCUCUGUCCCAUAAUAUAAGAACGUUUUUCAAGCUAUGUUAGCUUGAAAAUUUAUCUAAUAUUGUUGGAUGGAGGGGGUAAUUCAUAUUUAUCUUAAGGUUACUAACAUACUUCUUAUGAAAUUUAUUUUUUUCUUCAUUAUCAUAUAGGCCAAGAUGUUCUCAAUAUGCUGCAUCUGGAACGUCUCCGAAGAGAUUAACCAUCUGAAGACUCGGUCACCUGGUUUUAUUUUAAAUGAAGUUGUGUGUGUGAGGGAGUGAGCAAUAAAUUUGUGCAUGAACUAACGACGUUGGUGAGAGUUUAGGUGUUCGUAGAAUUGGUUAGGUGAAUACCCCAAUCUUGUAGUUAGAUGGUUGUAACUAACAUCUUACACUCUUUUAAUGGUGAUCAAUAGAUUGUUGUGUCCAUCGGAA